AUGCAGUCGACGGUGNAAGCAGAGCUUGCUCUGUGGAUCAGUGGCGAACGGGUGAGUAACACGUGAGCAACCUGCCCCUGACUCUGGGAUAAGCGCUGGAAACGGCGUCUAAUACUGGAUAUGAGCUGCGACCGCAUGGUCAGCAGUUGGAAAGAUUUUUCGGUCUGGGAUGGGCUCACGGCCUAUCAGCUUGUUGGUGAGGUAAUGGCUCACCAAGGCGUCGACGGGUAGCCGGCCUGAGAGGGUGACCGGCCACACUGGGACUGAGACACGGCCCAGACUCCUACGGGAGGCAGCAGUGGGGAAUAUUGCACAAUGGGCGAAAGCCUGAUGCAGCAACGCCGCGUGAGGGAUGACGGCCUUCGGGUUGUAAACCUCUUUUAGCAGGGAAGAAGCGAAAGUGACGGUACCUGCAGAAAAAGCGCCGGCUAACUACGUGCCAGCAGCCGCGGUAAUACGUAGGGCGCAAGCGUUAUCCGGAAUUAUUGGGCGUAAAGAGCUCGUAGGCGGUUUGUCGCGUCUGCUGUGAAAUCCCGAGGCUCAACCUCGGGUCUGCAGUGGGUACGGGCAGACUAGAGUGCGGUAGGGGAGAUUGGAAUUCCUGGUGUAGCGGUGAAAUNNCGUAGAA
rnacentral:rRNA from 1 species